rnacentral:miRNA from 1 species
AUAUGGAGUUCCUGGGGGGAUGA